rnacentral:rRNA from 1 species
UACGUAGGGUGCGAGCGUUGUCCGGAAUUAUUGGGCGUAAAGGGCUCGUAGGCGGUUUGUCGCGUCGGGAGUGAAAACCAUGGGCUUAACUCAUGGCUUGCUUCCGAUACGGGCAGACUAGAGGUAUGCAGGGGAGAACGGAAUUCCUGGUGUAGCGGUGAAAUGCGCAGAUAUCAGGAAGAACACCUAUGGCGAAGGCAGCUCUCUGGGACGGUACUGACGCUGAGACGCGAAAGCGUGGGGAGCGAACAGG